ensembl:lncRNA
AUGGGAAGAUGCAAGCCAGACACUGCCGGCUCCUCCUUACUCUCUGCUCCGGAGGGAGGCAGGAAGGAGUCUCAAGGGCCACCACAGUGCCUCUUCCCCCCAGACCCCAGAACACCAGAAGUGGAACCCACACAGCUGGGGCUGCAAGCGUGGGGCACAGGUCAUUUCGGGCAGCAGCCUCCAGAAGGACAACACUGGGAGGGAAGAGGACCUGCUUCAGGGGCCCUUGGCUGGCUGCCUCCUUCCGGGGACGCUCCCCAGGACCCUUCUUGCCCUGGGCCUCCUUCUCAGCCUGGGCCCACAUCUUCACCUGCUGGGCGCGCCGCUUCUGGGCAUGCUUCAGCCGCUCCUGCGUGCUCAUCCUGCCCACCAUGGGCAUCUCUGCCAGCAGCUCCAGGUGCUCGGCCAUGGCGGCGGCUGCUUGCCCACAAGGCUGCUCGGGGCACCAGAGUGGGGAGCUUGGGGGCCAGGCUGGGCCUGAGGGGUGGGGCAGCUGGCUGGACUGGCACCCUCGGGGGCAUCCCCUUCCCAAAACUCCGUGCCCUUGGCUGGGUCAGGAGGCCCCACACGAUAACUAGGCCCAGGCAGCCCUGGGGGGCACGGGCUGGGGCAGGGAGGGCAGUGUGGGAGGGCACCCCAAACCUGCUCCCCAGGCCAGCCUCUAGCUGUCGACCAGCAGCGCCUCGCCUCCCUCUCGGGGUCAGGGUGCACAACCUAUGGGAGGCAGCCCCGAGACCUGGCCGGCCUCAGUCCAGGGUCUGAAACUAAUUACCCAGAUAACAAGGUUCCAGCUUCCUGGCACCUCGCUGAGGGGGGAAGGGAGGGCAGGGCCAAUCAGCAGUGAGAGCCCCUGUGAGCCCCUGGAGCCCUCUUUUCACCUUCUAGGCUCAGGAGCCUGGGUGGGGCCUGGGAGCAGCCAUGACCCAGCCCCCCAACCCCUCCCAGCUGUGUGCCGAGGUCAGUGCAUCAGUACUAAUGAGGAGGUGCAGCCGCUGAGGCUGGGGGAGGGCAGGUGGUCAGAGUCCUGGAGUCCUGGCCCCAGGGCUCAGGGGUGAGGCUCUCUAGGCAGCCAGGGCACCAAGGGCACAGGCGGGCCGGCCGCAGUGUCUUCAGGAGCACCUCCCCUUCCGGCAGCUGCUCACACCUGAGAAGUGGGGAACGAGGAAGCACAUCACGGCGGGCGUGAGGCAGGAUGGCCCCGGGGAGCCCCUGCCCUGGGCCUCAGGUGAGACCAGGCUUCCAGCUGUCUCAGGUCCUGCCCUGUGUGAGGCCCACCCUCUGUCCACAGAGAGCACUGCAGGGCAACAGUCCUGGGGGUACAGGGAGCUACUCUGCCCCCAUUCUGCCCCAGGUUCAGAGAGGAGCUGGGGAAAGGCAUGUCAGGCUCCUCCCACCCACCCUUUCCAGAAAGGGCCACCCACCCCAGCGAGGUGUUCCCUGCUAGGCUGCUCCUCCAGGGCCAGGCACUGCCCACAGGCUGGGCAGGGUGAGGCCUCGUGGAACAGCCAUGAGGGCUUUGCAGGCUACUGCCUUCCAAGGGCAGGCCCCGCCUCCUGGGCCUCGCCUCUCCUGCCUUCCAAGGGCAGGCCCCGCCUCCUGGGCCUCUGCCGGUCCUGACUGACACUGCAGCCUCUCACUGCCCAGUCUCUAGACCUCUUCCUUGAUGGGCUCCCACAAUGCCUCUGCCAUCCUAGGCUGCAAUAAAAGCCCCCACCUGGUGCCUGGCUUAAGGCCUAUGGGGACAGACAGGCAGGCAGACAGCUUCAGCUGGGGCACAACCCUGCCUAUGUACCCGCUAUGGCCCUAGUCCUGCCCGACACACUAAGUGUGGUUGCCGGGCUGGCCACAGGCCUCACCUCAGAAGGCACUCCGUGCUUGGCCGGGCGCGGUGGCUCAUGCCUGUAAUCCGAGCACUUUGGGAGGCCGAGGCGGGUGGAUCAUGAGGUCAGGAGAUUGAGACCAUCCUGGCUAACAGGGUGAAACCCCAUCUCUGCUAAAAAUACAAAAAAUUAGCUGGACGUGGUGGCGCGUGCCUAUAGUCCCAGCUACUGGGGAGGCUGAGGCAGGAGAAUGGCAUGAACCCGGGAGGCAGAGCUUGCGAUGAGCCAAGAUCGCGCCACUGCACUCCAGCCUGGGCGACAGAGCGAGACUCCGAGAAAGAAAGAAAGGAAGAAAAGAAGAAAGAAAAGAAAUAAGGCACUCCGUGCUCUGCAGAAAAUGCCUGCCAGGAGUCCCAUUCUCCACCCAGCCAGGCCUCAUGGCCAUCUACACACUGACCCAACUCUUCACUGCUGGACUUAUACCCAGGUGUUUCAUAGAAUGCCCCCUUCUUUCAGCAAGGGAACUGUCCUGGACCAGGUCAAAUUAAGCCAGUCAGGUCCUUCCUGCUCAGGGGCCCCCAAUUUAUCUGGGAGCCCCACUUUACAGGUUCAGCCUACUCUAGACAUAGUCCCCCUCUGCAGGCCUGGCCUCAGAAGCUUCCUGAGGACACGGCCAGUAAGGCCAGUGGCCCCGACCUGGCUUUGUCUGCCAGGUAAAGAGCUUUUCCAGACAGUAACUCUCCCUCCGAGCAGCGUGCUCCCAAGCCUGGCCAGCUCUGUAGACCGCAGAGGCUACAGCAAGCACACACUGGCCAGACACCCUGCCCAGGCUCCCAAGUCCUCCCCUUGCCCUCUAGAGACACAGCAUGGGUACCAGAGAGGCGGGACAGCCAGUCCUGCAGGCAUGCUGCCAGCUCCGCAUCCAUGAGGACAGAGGAGGCAGACCACACCUGGCAUGGCAGAGCCCUCCCUGCCAGCCACUCACAGCUCACACCCUCUUCCUGACAGGGCUGGCAAGAUGAGAUCCUCACUUCUCGGUCAUUGGCAUCUCUGCACCUGCCAGAGAACCCACCUGGGCAGUAGCUACUCACCCCCACCCCAACCCAAAGAGAUCACAAGCCAAGAGCAAGGCAGGCUGCCCUUGCCCAGCCCUAGUCUCUCUCCAGCCACGGGAAGGAAAGAUUAAGAUUUAACCAUCAGGGAGCAGUGGCUCAUGCCAGCACUUUGGGAGGCCAAGGUAGUAAGAUCACUUGAACCCAGGAGUUCAAGGCCAGCCUGGGCAACAGGGUAAGACCCCGUCUGUACAAAAUAAUUUUAAAAUUAGCUGGUGGCGUGCGCCUGUGGUCCCAGCUCCUUGGGAGGCUGAGGUGGGAGGACCCCUUGAGCCUGGGAGGUAGAGGCUGCAGCGAGCCGAGAUCACAGCCUGCACUCCAGCCUGGCAGACAGAGGGCGAUCCUGUCUCAAAAAAAAAAGGAUUUAACAGACACCACCUACUGUCCCUAGCAUUGUAUAGAAGAAAAAAUCGGCGGGGCACAGUGGCUCAUACCUGUAAUCCCAGCACUUUGGGAGGCCGAAGCAGGCAGGUCGUUUGAGCCCAGGAAUUCGAGACCAGGUUGGGCAACACAGCGAGACCCCAUCUCAAUUUAUAUUAUAUUAUUAAAAAAUAAUUAAAAUAAUGUAAGAGAAAAAAA